AAUCCGUGAUGUGAAUAGAGUCUCAUCAUAUCCUUAUAUCUUUCCCAAGCCUCAAAAAGUGACUCGGUUUCUUUCUGCAUAAAACCGUUUAUUUGACUUCUGAGCAU